UGGAUGGAGAGGGAAGGAGCUCACUGAGCCAAGGUCAGCGGUGGCUCCAUUCACAAUAAUCAGUAGGUAUCUGGGGACUUACAUCUGUGGGUAUGCUUAUCUUUCUGUGUGUCCGUAUGCAUGUUUUUGUGUGUUUUCAUCUCCCCCAAACCCAACCACAGCACACACAGGGGCUAUGAGCCAGGAUCUCUCACAGAUUAGGCAAUAAUCAAUUAACAAAUUAAAAAAAGUAAGCAUAACUACCUUGUAUCUCUUGUGUUAUGAAACACUUAAACACUUAGGUGCACAACUACGGCAGUUGGCCCAAAGUCCUGCACUUUUUUUUUUUUUUUUAGCAGGAUAGCAGAUGUUGGAAAAGGCUUUGAUAGGUGUAUUGGCUCAGAGGAAAAUCCAACAGUAUUUAUGGUUGAAACAUGAAAGGGUCCUGGCUUGUGGAUGCAUUUAUAUUUGAAUGGCACCCACUUCAUUACUUAAUGAUUUGAAAAGGCUGUUAGGGAGCUGAACCUGAGCCAAUGAACCUGUGACCCUGCUGAGUCAAUGUGCUAAGCAGACACAGGCCCUGCUUCAGGCGGCUCCACUCCCUCACACCACGGAAACACGACAUCUGCAUGUGGACUAAAUGAGGAAACACUGAGUGGAAGACAAAUGAACCACAUGCUUAUAUACUGUAUAUGUACAGUACAUGUGAGUUAGUUUACAAUGUAACAUGAAAGUUUGAAUGUAGGAUAGAAUUAUAAUGUGCUUCUGGGAGAGUCAAACUUCACACAUAGAGUUAAAAAUAGCCAUCAAUAAUCUUUCUUCAAAAGACAAAAACAGUGAUCUUAGAGCUUUUUUCUAAUAAACAUAGACCAGCUGGAGCACUUAAACAUGCAUUAAAGGGUUACUCUGAGUUUCAGUGGUGUAGUAAUACUUGUAAAUAUCAACUGCAUUUCCCACAGGAGAUCAGUGAGGCUUCCUCUUUGUUUAAUAUAUGACCAGAGAUCCCACAUGGAAGCUGAGCCUUGAACAGCUUUGCCAGUUACCAACCAGAGUCAAUUAUAUACCAUUAUUAUGCUUGUUUUAAGAAGUCCAACCAAAAAAAACAGCAUUUAUGUUAGUGUACUGAUAGUAUAAUAAUUUAAAGAAAAAAAUCUGUACUUUUUUGAGGAUGCAACACAUGCAUUUUCUUUCAUCUACACUUAUAUUGGAAUUUGGGUCAAGCUGACUCAAAGUAGCCCAGUUAUGUAGUAAAGAUGACUCAAUUCUGCACAGCUGUUUGCUCAACAAAUGGGCAAAGAUACACCGACUAUUUACAAGUCCACUCAAAGUCCCACUCCGAAUGUUUUUUUUACUACUUCAUGUGUUAUCAGUGGUCUUUAAAUUGUGAUUAUAAAGUUUUUACCAAAAAUCACCAUUUUCAAGGUUUUUUUCUUCUUCUGCAGAGCUCCAGUGGAUCAUUAGCAACUCGCCUCUGAGUCGUGGGCAGAGACAACGUUGCUCUGCACACUCGUCUUCACGUUAGCUUGCAGCCUGACAUGCCGGUGUAGUAGAAGUGGUAAAAGUUAAUAUCAUAAUUAGCUUUCUUACGAGCAUUGCAAUCCGCUAACGCACACACUUGUUCCGUGAUCGUCCUCAGUAUUUCUCCUCUAUAUGCAGAGUGUGGGUGGAGCUUGGAUUUGCUACGUAUGAAAUCUCACUGUUUCUGAACCUGCUGUUUGGGUCUGCCAGAGAUUCACAAAGAUUUGAAUGAAGAAAUACUCAGAAAAGCAAUUUCACAUUUAGUUUUCUCUUGGUAUGUCUUGUAGCAUCAGAAAAAUGCCAGGUGAGCAAAUAAAAACACAAGAAAAACAUGAUUUUCAUCAGAGUUGGUCUUAAAUCCUUCAUAAACACACAAAUAUUAAGCUCUUGCUAACUUUAAGCAAGCCUCUGCUUUUUGGAUUAUUAUAAAUGACGUGUUUGGUUGACACUCCUAUAUGGAGGUAUGGAGGUGGGAAAGUCAUAAAGGCAAACCUGACAAGAGGAUUUGGAGGAACAAUGUUAUUGCACUUUAUUAAUCUCUUUGUACAGGAUGUUCUCAAAGCCAGCUCCUAGCAGUCAUUCCUGGACCUGCAGCUGAAGACAAUCUGCUCAGGCCUCAGCGGUGAACCAUAAUGGCUGCUGCUUUCUGCUAAGCAGUAUGACUCAAGCAGUCAUGUUGCUAGAGGGCACCACCAUAGCUAUUUGGGCGGGUGCAUUUACUUUCCCUGCUCUGAUGUCUUUGAGCGUGGCUUUUCAUGUCCCUGCUUUUCAAACCGCUAAAAGUCUGCAGAGCGGUCCCUCUCUUUUUUUUUUUUCUCCAACCUAAUAUCAGGCUAUCUUUAGCACUGAAGUCACCGAGCUGAACCACCAUUCUUCACCGUACGUGUACAGUAUAGCACAUAGUGUCACUUCCACCUCCUAGUAGUUGACGUUGUGUGCAUCUGGCACAGUGUGUAGGCACAGCUGGUGUCAACAAGGACCUGCGCUGUCAAGAAGCACCAAACUCAGGUCAAGGUCAGGGAGGGAAAAGUUAGUGAUGGUGGAGGGAAGGAUGGUGGCAGUCCUGACUGAUGAUGUGGUUGACUGCACUCCUUCUAACAAACACACACACACACACACAAGACCUAUUUCCUUUCAUCCCCUUUUUCUUUACUAUGUCCCCUUGUCAUACAACACCCCCCACAACUCACCCCAGCUCACCACUUCCUCGUUUUUCCUCCCAGGUGCUCAGAAACGAUGUGGAUGAGGUCGAGGACAUGAGGAGCCCACCGGAGAGAGAACAGAUGUCACAUGCCUCUUGCACCACACUAUGGGAUGUGUGUGUGUGUGUUCUGAACGGUGACAGGUAGUGUGUUGUGGUUGAAAGGUAAGGCAGGGCCUGACUCCCAGUAGGAAAUGGAAUGAAAUGAGGGCUAAAGCAGCGGGGGAAGGGGCAACGGGAUACGAAAGAAAUGUAUGAAAAUAGGUAUGGGAUAUAGACACCUUGCUGUCUUGUGUUCACCUGUCAGUCAAAACUGAGGCUGUUACAUGCCUUGUUGUUUUCUGAGCUUUGAACAUUUUCAAAU